rnacentral:lncRNA from 1 species
CAAACUUUCAGCUUUAUUGUAAACAUCGGAACAAAAAUGAUAGCCAUAAGAAACCUAAAGAAAAGAAUAAACGAGCAUGGCGGAUAGAGCAGAAUUUCAAUUGCACUACGAGUUCAAUGCGGAAGGAAGCAGACAUCAUGCUAAAUAUUAUCUCUCACAUGCGGUUUGUUACAUUAUUUGGAUAAUCAUUUUGCAAAUGUAAUCAAUUUAUUGUGUUUCUAGAACUUUAGUCUUGUUCAGGCAGCCGAUGUACGACACAUCCAUUGCCCACGUUGUUACUGGCGAGAUCUACUCCGUAGCACCAAGUCGGAAAGUACUGAAGAGCUGAAGCGUGACGUGCUUCAUCAUAGGUGCCUUGGAGGAUUUGCCUAGGGAUGUCUUCUGCGAUGUUGUCACGGUCAAAAUAGGUGGUUGGCGAUUUCUGCUCCCAGGUGGUAGAGUUGAAAGUCACGCAAAUGAGUGACCAGUCGGAAACUAUGGAACGCGAAAGUAGAUGAUCGACUGUCGCUGCUGUUCCCCCCGGCAAGAGUUUUCAAAUUUUGGCAGUGACAGCCACAACCAACAAUGACGGCCAUUAUGGUCCCAAUGUGCGGCUUGAAGAGUCAGAGGAGAGUGACAAUAUAUACAGAUAUAUGUAUUCGGCGAGGCAAAGGACGAUUGUGUACCAGAUAGGAAUAUACAGACGAGCAUUGAUUAGGCGCGACACGCAGAGAAUGUGAGUAUAUCAGCGGUACGCAUCUUUAAAUGUAUUUAAUGAUCAAUCUUGUGUGUUUUCUUCCUCCACAGUUGGCCAAUGAAGAGGCUGACAGCAAUGUCUACAAAUAUCCCCUGAACAUCGGCGCCUAUUGGCUGCAAAGUUGUCUGAGCAAGAUUUAAAAGAACAUCAUAGUGUCGCUGUCUGCCGAUGUACUCAAGAUCCACAAAAAUGAUUGCCAGCUCGCAGACAGCGACCCAGAACAAAAUCAAGGAUUCGUAUUAGCGACAUGUGUCGGAAUUUGGUGUGGUGUCAAGCGAUGCAGUGAGACGGUAAGGUGUGUAUUGACUGUUCCAGCAGCUCUUCUUUUUAUAAACUUCUUGUUUUGUGUUUUUCAGAAAAUCGUAUCCGUUUUCGUGUUCAUAGAGCUGAAGGAUGAGGAUCGCACGCUUCUAUUGCCGCUUUCCUACACGCAGAUGGCCGAUGGGGCCCAUUGAACUCAGCUAUGUGGGGAUCCAGCUGAAGCGUGAAUGUCUCCAGUUAAUCCAACUUUUUGUACUGCGAAAGAUCAAGGAAGGCCGGCGUGUCGAUGUUCCCGGCAACCAAGACUAUACCUUGUCCAACAUAAGCGACUCCUACGUGGGCUGCGAUCAGGAGUAGAAGGACUACAAGGAUCAGGAGUCGAAGUGGCCGAUUUCCAAUCUGACAAUCAGACCGAGUCGGAUUAGGGCGUACGUUAAGAUUAGUAUACAUAACAAAUCCUACCCUAAUAAAACAUGUAGCAUACUCUUGGGGCUACCCGAUAAUAC